GAUGAACGCUGGCGGCGUGCUUAACACAUGCAAGUCGAACGGAAAGGCUCCUGCUUGCAGGGGUACUCGAGUGGCGAACGGGUGAGUAACACGUGGGUGAUCUGCCCUGCACUUCGGGAUAAGCCUGGGAAACUGGGUCUAAUACCGGAUAGGACGAUGGUUUGGAUGCCAUUGUGGAAAGUUUUUUCGGUGUGGGAUGAGCUCGCGGCCUAUCAGCUUGUUGGUGGGGUAAUGGCCUACCAAGGCGUCGACGGGUAGCCGGCCUGAGAGGGUGUACGGCCACAUUGGGACUGAGAUACGGCCCAGACUCCUACGGGAGGGAGCAGUGGGGAAUAUUGCAAAAUGGGCGGAAGCCUGAUGCAGCGACGCCGGGUGGGGGAUGACGGCCUUCGGGUUGUAAACUCCUUUCGCUAGGGACGAAGCGCAAGUGACGGUACCUGGAGAAGAAGCACCGGCUAACUACGUG
rnacentral:rRNA from 1 species